GACAGAGGGUGCAAAACGUUUGUUCGGAAUUACUGGGCGUAAAGCGCGCGUAGGCGGCCCGGUAAGUCCGCUGUGAAAGUCAAAGGCUCAACCUUUGAAUGUCAGCGGAUACUGCCGGGCUAGAGUCCGGAAGAGGCGAGUGGAACUCCUGGUGUAGCGGUGGAAUGCGCAGAUAUCAGGAAGAACACCAACGGCGAAGGCAGCUCGCUGGGACGGAACUGACGCUGGAGGCGCGAAAGCGUGGGGAGCGAUCCGG
rnacentral:rRNA from 1 species